ensembl:misc_RNA 7SK 7SK RNA
GAAUGUAAGAGCUAUAUGACUGUGACGUCUCUCACCCCAUUGAUCACCAGGGUGCCUUUGGCUGAUUUGACUGGCUAGGCAGGUGUCUGCUUCCUCCCUCACCUCUCCAUGUACAUCCCACUCGAAGCUGCACAUUCAGUCAGAGGAUCUUCCCUGAUAGAAAAGGACCAUUCUUUGGUCAAGGAUAUAUGAGUAGCUGUGCUCCUCUGCUAGAAUCUCCAAACAAGCUCCUCUGCUAGAAUCUCCAAACAAGCUCCCAGAAAGUGGGGCUAUUUCUUAACCCUAUUAA